rnacentral:rRNA from 1 species
AUUGAGCGCUGGCGGCAUGCCUUACACAUGCAAGUCGAACGGCAGCACGGGAGCAAUCCUGGUGGCGAGUGGCGAACGGGUGAGUAAUAUAUCGGAACGUGCCCAGUCGUGGGGGAUAACGCAGCGAAAGCUGUGCUAAUACCGCAUACGAUCUAAGGAUGAAAGCGGGGGAUCGCAAGACCUCGCGCGAUUGGAGCGGCCGAUAUCAGAUUAGCUAGUUGGUGGGGUAAAGGCCCACCAAGGCGACGAUCUGUAGCUGGUCUGAGAGGACGACCAGCCACACUGGAACUGAGACACGGUCCAGACUCCUACGGGAGGCAGCAGUGGGGAAUUUUGGACAAUGGGCGCAAGCCUGAUCCAGCAAUGCCGCGUGCAGGAUGAAGGCCUUCGGGUUGUAAACUGCUUUUGUACGGAACGAAACGGCCCUUUCUAAUACAGGGGGCUAAUGACGGUACCGUAAGAAUAAGCACCGGCUAACUACGUACCAGCAGCCGCAGUAAGAC